AAAGGAAUUGACGGGGGCCCGCACAAGCGGAGGAACAUGUGGUUUAAUUCGAUGAUACGCGAGGAACCUUACCCGGGCUCGAACGGCUGGUGAAUACAGGUGAAAGCUUGUAGUCGCAAGACACCAGUCGAGGUGCUGCAUGGUUGUCGUCAGCUCGUGCCGUGAGGUGUCGGCUUAAGUGCCAUAACGAGCGCAACCCUUAUUUUCAGUUACCAUCAGGUCAAGCUGGGGACUCUGGAAAGACUGCCACCGUAAGGUGUGAGGAAGGUGGGGAUGACGUCAAAUCAGCACGGCCCUUACGUCCGGGGCGACACACGUGUUACAAUGGGAGGGACAGAAGGCUGCUACCCGGCGACGGGAUGCCAAUCCUGUAAACCCUCUCCCAGUUCGGAUCGAAGUCUGCAACCCGACUUCGUGAAGCCGGAUUCGCUAGUAAUCGCGCAUCAGCCAUGGCGCGGUGAAUACGUUCCCGGGCCUUGUACACACCGCCCGU
rnacentral:rRNA from 1 species